rnacentral:tRNA from 1 species
CUAAGGAUGUUCGAGAGUGUGAAGUCUCACUUCACUUCGAGAACUCCAUAGCAGCAGGACCCUCUGGUUCAUUCUUCGGAAUGUUCCGGACGUCACGGCAAAACAAAUGGCGGUUUCAUCGCCGUCCUCGCUUCUCUUCCGUGAACCUCUCGCCGCCUGGCGAUCUCCUGAGCAAUCAGGAUGGAUCUGCAGGGUAGGGGAGAGGUGAUUGCGAGCCCAGUUCGGCAAGACCCGGUUUGGGCCUGAGCCGCGGGUGAAGGCCCGUAGCUCAGUUGGUUAGAGCACACGCUUGAUAAGCGUGGGGUCGGCAGUUCAAAUCUGCCCGGGCCUACCACUGCCUUCUUCCGGACGGGGCCAUAGCUCAGUUGGGAGAGCGCGUGCUUUGCAAGCAUGAGGUCGUCGGUUCGAUCCCGUCUGGCUCCACCAUCCUCUUUCGAGGGUGUGGUAACUCGCAAUCAUUUCCACUCAUCAGUUUCGACUGACUGCGCGCAAGCCGGCCAGUUGAAUUGACAUCGUGAAGGAGGCCGUCUGACCGACGCUGUAACCCAGUGUUCCAAAGGUCAGACCCAACAACAACUAAAUCGUCUAACAAUCGUUCCAUAUGUGGACGCGGGAGACAGGACGGCUGAACAAGCCGGCAUGUUCUUCACCACGUAUGGGUUUUGUUGAGUGA